AGUCGCUUAACGAAAUUCGAACGUGUUGGAUCGGUUUGGUGCAGCUCGUGAAGAUCAGCGUGCUAAAGUCGCCGGUCGCUAGUUGCAAUACAUACAAUGUGACUAUAAAAUUUACAUACCGAACAACUCCGGAACACAAUUCUGUUUUCUAAAACAAUAAGUGUGUACAACGUUCGUGCGCUGAUCGGAUUAGCAAUUUAGUGAACGCAUACUCGCGAGCGCGCACCGAACGGAGGUGCAGUACAAUAGAUGAGCGCCUGAGUAAGCGUUUGCGAUGACAUCAAUGGAGUGAGCGCAGUUCGUGCGCCUUGAUGGGACUCUCGUUGUAGUUACCUGUCGCAUUGGCCACGUCUGCUACGAUCAGUUGAACGACAGCUAGCAACAAGUUCGCUUGUUAGCCAAGCGUAGCGGAUGUCUACUAAGUUUGUUCAGUCAAAAAGUAUGACUACUAACAGUAUACUUUGUUCAUGUUUUAAACAUUGGAGGCUGACUAUUUGAGAUGAUCGUGUCUCAUUAUUUUACCGAACAGUGUUGCUAACCAGACUCAGCAGUUUCAGUGUUAAAUAUAUAAAUACAACAAAAAAGUGCUUGAAGUAUCACCAAAAUACGCUAAAGACAGAAAACAUAAUAAAAUAAAACAUUGGAGAAAUGCCACUUAGUUAACACUCAGGUGCGAAUUGGAAGCAUACCAAAAAGAAAGAAGUUCGAGAAGCCAAAAAAAUGUGAUCGCCUGAGUUGUGAUGAGCUGGAAUGAAGGCAAUGAAAGCAAACAACAACAAUACUAAUUUAUUAGCUUGUUCAAGUUUUGUUGCUUUGUAGUGCUUGUCGAACUGUUAAAAAGCGUCGAGUAAACACCAAAGGCCAGACCACCAGUACACAAGCCAGAAUAUCACAAAGUCAACAGAUUUUUAGUGGGCCGACAAAUGAACUGAAUUGGCGGCAGACAGUUGAAAGCCGCAAAUCGACACCAUUGUUUUGUAUUGUUAUUUGCUUUUGAAUUAAGCGACAACAGCCGAAAGUCAACAGUUCUGAAUUGAACAGUUACGUAGCAGCCAAAUCGAACGAGCGCUUGUAAAGUACAAACGAAUAUUUCGAACAGAAGCAUCCGUUGAAGAACUUAACUAAAUCGAGUCGAAGAGAAAAUAGCUUUCACGUGGGCAUAUUUUCUACAAACACGUCGUUGUCAUACGUAUGUACAUAUACUUAUAUUAAAAACACUGCAGUUGGCGAAAAAUAUAGGAAUUACAAAAAAAAUGCCAUGAAAUUUGAAUGGUGAAUUUUACCACCAACAGACAAACUGGUAAAUUUCUGUACUACGGAAAUAUGAGCUUUUUUUGUUAAACACGUAUAUGCUCCUGUGUCUACCGAGAACUGUCAGUUGACUCCUGUCAAAAAGUUGCCAAAAAAAGCUAAAUUAAGUUGUUUUGCUUUUGGUAGCUCUGGUGCAGUCGUUAUUGUUGUCUGCUGUCAGUUUUUUGUUGAUUUUCGUCCUUGACUGAAGCUAGUGUGAAACUUGAGCCUUCAGGCCGAAAAAGUUGACGUUGAAGAGUGAUGCUCUGCGAAACAGCGAACAAAUUUUGUGCUCUCACGUAUGAGAAAUAAACAAAAAGCCACCGAUGCCUGCAGUCCACCAUUGGCAGCCGCAAGUGAUUAGCGACAACUGACGGAUGGUAUUCCUGGCAGUAAGCGCCAUCGGCCAUUUUGAGGCAGCUGCUGUUGAAUCAGAGCUCCGCUCAUUACUGCGGACCAUUGCUCGUGCUGCUGCAGUCUUCAAGUUGCUGGAGUCUAGUCUAUCAUGUGGUAAGAAUCGACACACGACAACCAGAGUGAUUAGCUGCAGCGAAAGGAGUAGUCGGUAUAUUGCAGUAAACAGCAGAAGUGUGUAAGUUUAUAUGUUUGUCAGCAUGUGUCACUGUAUGGUAGCUUGUGGAGAAUACAGUUCGAUUAAUGUCAAUGCGCACUACGGUCACUUCCGGUCUUCAGUGUGGCCUACGUUGUGGUAGCGGAUGUGGCAGAUCAACCAGUUUGCAAGUGAUGCUUUUAUAAUGGUUGGGCUCAAAAAUACAAGCUGUCUUUUUAUAAAGCUGCAAAGCAUAUAUAUUUACCUGACAAAACUCUAAGUAGAAAUUAGUGAAAUAAUAUUUGCCGGAGAUUUGUUUGAGUACCAUUGAUUGAACAAUUAAUUCUAAUUGUUCUUAAUUUCUUUGAUUUAUAGAAUUCGCAUUAAUUAAUCUUGCUUAAAAAACAAUUUCAAUUAAUGCACACUAAUUUGGCUUUCAACGAAUCUUCUUCACAUAACUCUUCUAAUUGCCCAUAAUCAAUCCUUGAUUAUAAAAAAUAUAAAAGCAAAGCGACCGCGGGUGGAAAAAUACUACAUAAAGUUCAUAAUGAAAUGAGGAGAAAAGCUUUAGCGUUAACAGCUACAGUUAGAAAGAGCUGAAGGCAAUUUCACAAAAGAAAUAUGUCGAGUCAAAUCAUAGUUGUGAGAUAAAUUUUUGAACAAAGCCGUGCUUGAAUGCUUAUUGUGGACGAUUAUUUGACGCUGGUGGUAACGGUAGUGGCGUGGUGAGCAAAAAGUUACAACCACAAAAAAGAGCAGAAGAGCUGUAGAAAACAAACUGAGCGAAAUACUCUUUUCUUCUUUGCAUGAAAUCCAAGUUCGUCUCCGAACACCAUUAAAUAAAUUCUUAUUAAUUGUAAA